AAAACGACUUCCUCUAAAUAUCCAUUCUGUGUAUUGAAGUAUAAAUGAGUCCCACUUAAGAAAAAACAAAACAAACCAACUUCCAAUGAUUUAAAAAUACUAACGUGACCCUCUUACGUUUACCUAAAGCUAGUGUUUCUCAAACAUCAGCUGUAUCAGAAUCCCUGAAGGACUUGUUAAAACAAAUUGCUGGUCUCUACUCUGAGCUUCUGAUUCAUUAAAUGUGGGAUGGUACCUGAGAAUCUGCAUUUCUAACACGUUCCCAGGUGACCCUGAUGCUGUUGCUCUGAGAACCACUUUGAGAUCCACAUCUCUAAGCUCAUCAGUCUGUCCGUUACACCUUACAAGACAUACUUUCCUAAUCUGACACCCUUCUAUUUGUCUUUUUUUGGAAUGCUUUAGAAAUUUAGCAGUUAUCUUUUUUAUGUAUUUUACAUUUGUUACAGCUUUCCUUGGUGGACAGAUAUGAGUUUUCUACUUGAAAAUAAACACGUUUUUCUUUAAAAUAUCAUUAAAUAAGAGUGUAAUUAGUGAUAUAAAGCAAGAUGACUAAAAAGAAUCUCUCAUUAUUAUGUUUGCACAGCCUGUAUAGAAAUUAUUUGAACUAGAAAGGAUUUGCUAAGUAAAUUAUUUCUAUUUCCCUCACUUAAUAGUGAAUAUUAUGGUGAUUAGGGGAAAAAAUAAGCUUUCUUUUUUCUUUUGAGAUGGAGUCUCACUCUGUCACCCAGGCUGGAGUGCAGUGGCGCGAUGUCGGCUCACUCUGUCACCCAGGCUGGAGUGCAGUGGCGCCAUCUCGGAUCACUAAGCCAUCUCGGCCUCCCCAGCUCAAGUGAUUCUACUGCCUCAGACUCCCAAGUAGCUGGAAUUACAGGUGUCCGCCACCAUGCCCAGCUAAUUUUUGUAUUUUUAGUAGAGAUCACCAUGUUGGCCAGGCUGGUCUCGAACUCCCGACCUCAAGUGAUCCGCCUGUCUUGGCCUCCCAAUGUGCUGCGAUUACAGGCAUGAGCCACCACGCCCAGCUAAAAGAAGCUUUUCUGAUAGUAACUUUGUUUUCCCAUUCUGGAGUUUAUGGCAGUAUGAAAAAGACUGAAUUUAUAAGCAGAAGAUCUGUUUUUGAAAUCCGGGGACCUGUAUUUCACAAUGGCUUUGAUGUGUUUUGAUUGUGCACCUUUAGACAACUUAUCAGUUUCCUCAUUUUUAUACAGCAAUAAAAUAGUAACAGCUACCCAUUAAAUUCUGUACAGAAGCUAGGGACAGACGCAAUAACACUUGCAUAUCUAUAAAGGCUUUGUAAAUGUGGGUAUUAUAUCUAAUGUUUAUGCACAUGCUGUUUGAUUAUUUUCAUUUGGAAUUCCACUCCAUUAAAGGAAAAGUAACAUACGAAUUCAGAUUCUUGUAAGUCUUCAGGCAUGAGGCCUCCAUUGACUAAGUACAUUGCCUACAUAAUUUCUCCUAACCCAAAUGAAUCUCCAGUUAAACCAAGCUGGUGGUUAUGUACUGUCUCCAGAGGAUGCCAAGCAUAAAGUCCUUGAGUAUAUUCAUCUUGGAUCCUCUGAUUGGACAACUGCGGUAUUGAGACUUCAAGUUCCCCCUUGAAGGCCCCAGACGGUACCUGUAAUUUUACUCAAGUUUUAAAUGUAUGCUCUUUGUUAAGAAAGAGUGACAAUGAUUUGAUUUAUUUUCCGUGACUGGGGUUAGGGAUGGGGGAGACUCUAGGAAUGUGACUUACCAGUGAGGUUCUAGUUUUAUAAAUCAUAGGACAAGUUUUGAUAGGCAAAUGUUGGACUAUAGGGCUGAGGUUGUUUUCCACCACAACAUAUAGACUUCUACUAGCCCUUGAAGGAAAAAACACGAGAAAAUCAGUUGGGUCAGCUGAGUAUUCCUUUACGAGUAUGGAACAGACUUACAUAACAAUUCUGCAGGUAAUGGCUCUGGAAAGGUCAACCACUUAGUUUUGGACAACUCUUUUCUAUUCUGUAUAACCACUUUUUCACCAAAAUGAUACUAAAUAAAUAUGCUAUAGGAAGCUAUAUUUUGACAUGACUGUUUUAGGCAAAGAUACACUCACCAACUUACUCCACAAGAGUUUCUAAUCAGAGAAUAUCAUAUGGAUCUAUUUGAAUUGCUCCCAUGCUUGGCUGAGCCCAAAAUAAUUUACUGUGCAUAUGUACACCAAGUGAGAAGGUUGAGGAGGUGUCACUUGUACAUCUCUUUAUUCUUUUUUUUUUGUAUGUGUGUGUUAUUUUCAUGUGUUUUGAAAGGCUCUCUUGCUUAGCUUUUAUUUUGCCAUUAAAGAUUUUUUUCUGUGCUAUAACUGUAUUUUUAAGUCUGGUUUGAGUUCAAGAAAUCCACAAAUUCACAAAAGAUUAGGAAUAAUUUGUGAACAAAAUGAUGCAGAAAUAAAAAAUGCAUUUUCCAAAUAACUCCCUUGCAGUCCUUCUCGCCCAACUACCACUU
rnacentral:lncRNA from 10 species